CACUGCGUUUUGAUUUCUUGCUUCUUAGAUCCGUUCUGAUGUUCACCAAGAGUAACAAGAUCAUCCAUCAAGGACAGCCCUGAUUACCAAGACCUCUGGGUUUAUCUUAUGGGUCUAUUCUCAUGGAGUUGGUUGAGCUAUCCAGCACAUCACUGGCUGAAGCAAUGUUCGAGAAACUCGGUCUCCCUAAACCAGUAUACUUUGUGCAUCAUCUUUCACAAGAUCGAUUUAGAACAGAGAUUCAAUUUCACCGUACAAAAGAACGGUACCAUGCUUCAGUGCGGCGGACUAAACUAUCAAGCCGUAUAUGUCAGAAUGGGGUAGCAUCAAUGAAUCAUGCAGCCGAUAAGGCCAUCGAAUACAUGCAGAACAAAGAGGGUAAGGUGCUUGUGGACUACAACUAUUAUCAGCUAGAGCAAAUGAAAAUGACACAUACAAGAGUAUCAGCCAGGCUGCUAGAACAGUCAGACGAAAUCAACCAGCAUAGCAAAACCAUCAAGCAGAUAACUAAAGAAGCAUGUAACUAUGUGGAACAAGUGCGCAAUACAUCAAACAGAAUCCAAGACCUUGCUGCCGUUUUCUUGGACCCUGUUACCUCGAUGUGUGUUUCUAAUAUGAAGCAAGCUAUUAUGGAGAUUCACAGUUCAAUUGUCGCGCUUGAAAGCUCUAUAACUACGACAUCUAAGUUCCUAGAGGAAAAAGGCAUGUACUCAGAUUAUGAAGUGCCUGAAGAAAGCUACACUGGCCACUCGGAUGAAGAUUCAGCCGAUGAUAUUCAUCAACACAUGGAUGACGACUAUGUCCCAUCCCCAUGAGCGUCAUAUCGAGCCUGUUGAACUAUCUCGUUGCCAUGUGAAGUUGUAUAUAUCAAAAACAACCCUCUUCACCCAUUGAUUUGGUAUUACCAGAGAGCAUCUCAUGGAGAAGAACAAAUCCUGGUGUUUCAACCUACCCACAGCCGAUCAAUUGAGCGAGUGGAUGUUAACAGAGAAAUACAUGAUUGAUGAUAUUUCUUCUUCACAAGGUUUUAUAAGCGCAGUAGAACACAAGACGAGAGAGGUUGCGCGGCUGUGUUCCCACUACAUACUAGCACGGUGGGAUGGAUGGCCUAUGGAUGAGCACCACGUCACGCCACUCAUUUCAGAACAUCUUCAUCUGCCAUAUCAACCAUAUCUGUAUGCUCCAUAUGAUAAUGAAUCCCGGUUGGUGCUAGAUUUAAUGAAUGAGCCAACCACAGCUUAUGCACGUGUGGUUCUGUCCAGUGGAGUGACCAUGGCAGUAGAUGGGACUGAAGUUCUAUGUUACCCUGUAAAAAAUGUAGGUGUGCCAAUGGAAGCAAUACCUAAGGAAGUAAUAACCCCUAAAGAAGCUAGAGCAAGAAACUAAGGAUACUGAUAUCUUGGCAGCAUUCCGAGUAAGUCCUCAGCCUGGGGUUCCGCCCCAAGAAGCAGGGGAUGUACGAUUUUCAGAUUGAAGAAAUGAUGGAGACAAUGACUGAACAUCUAAAGGUACAGAUCUAUGGUUUGCCAUUACAUCUUUGGACUAGAAGAGCAAUUGAACGUGCCCUGCUACCACAUUGCCUUGUUGAGAAUGUUAGUCAAGCCAAUCUCAUCUUUCGCAAGCUUCGAUCAGUAAGUUGCACGGCAUGCCUGUUAGAACUGUUGUGCCAUUCCCAUGGUAUAUACUCAUUCAUGUCUCCAGCAAGUAUGACAAAGGAAGAAACCAAAGCAGUGGCCACAGGAACACAGAGACUUUUUGUAUUGGUGUUGACAGAGUUAAUAUUGGAGCUCAUCAUAACAAGUCUCUUCAAAGAACACACAGGAGGAUUCCUUCUUUCUUGCAGGCACUAAAGAGAGGAAUGGUUUCCCAUUCAUAUUUAAAUGAUGUUGACAUACCAGCUGACCAAAUGCGGAUAUUGGAAUCAUCAUUCCUCCUGACGGCUUGCGAUGAGGGAAGAAUUAUCACAGAGGACAAGUUAACACGCUGUUUGCAGCAAAUGCAGAUUGAAUGUCCUGGAAAGGUCAUAGUCAAGCAAGUUGGCAGGUCCAAAUACCUUAUAUAUUUCCAAGGGCCAGUAACCACAACUUUGUUUCACACGUUGUCUGCUGAUGCUGCUGGAAUCCAGCUACCUCUUGGUAAGUUCUUAGUUCAGAAAUGGUCGACGUCUGUUGGAGGUGUAUCUUCUACCCUCUCUCGAAAAGAACAGAUAAGGAUUACAGGACUGCCAACUGAAUUUUACAGCCCGUCUAUAAUUGAAGACAUCCUGAGCCCCCAGUGCAUGUUAGAAAACAACAGCCAUCAGGUUGGUGAGUCUCCUGAUGUUUGGUUCUAUGACUGUGCCAUAUGGACAAAUGAAAACAAAAUUAUUUCAGAGGACAUCUAUUUGGGCUGCUCCAAAUGGAUUAACAGUGGAACAAUCAACUGUUAAAGAUCUUCAGGUGCCUCUGGAGUUGUACAAUGCAAGAAUUACCAGCUCAUAACACCAUAUUUCAAGAGCUGGGAUCACAGUGCUGACAUAUCUACAUUAGUUGGGCAGCUUUCACUAUUUAGGUGUUUCUGUAAAUAAGUUUAAGUCAAAUUACUAUAUCUACACUUAUGCACCCUGCAGUCUCCCGCUCGCUACCUAUUACUUCUCCCUCGCGUAUCUUUUUGUUCUUGUAUUUUUGAUUAUGCCGUCUUAAGAGGUGUCCUCCAACGGAUAACUCUCCAUUAUCAGUCUUCCUUAUUAACUAAUCAGCCCAUUUUUUAAAACAAAUGUUGUGUUGUUUAAAAUUCACACACAUGCUACUGGAUUUUACUUACAUUCGUUUCAACCCCUUCCAAUAUAAUUAUUUCUGCCCUAAUAUAUGCCUACUGCAAUGUAUUCUGCACAGCCAGGUUGAUUGGACCUAGGUUGUUUCUUCUAUCUCCAUGUUAAUUGCAUUAGGAAUUACAAAAUGAGGAUGCACCUGCCGGUUGAUUACUAAGAAAGCCUUUUAUUUUCCACAGGCUUUAUUUAGAUUCUUGAUGCCUCCAUAAAAUUCCUGAUCCAGAAAAAGCUAGGUAAAGAUGAAACAAAAUGUUGAUUGCUUCCUUUUUAGUUCUCUUAGUUUAGCCUCGCCACAAAAGCCCUGUCCCACAGCUACAUGGCUUUAAAAAUUAGACCACCUGGCUAUAAUUCCAAAAAAACAAAUAAGGUAACAUAAAUUAUUUUAUUAUUCGAUUUGCUUUUUAUUAAAAAUAAACUACCACGUAGAUACAUGAUACUAAUUACCCAUAAAAAUAUAGCACUGUAUAUCAGUAAGCCCAUAUAAGGUUUGUUUUAGAAGAAGGAUAAACAAGCAAAGUAACAAUAUUAACGGACAUUUUCCAUCCUCAGAACCAACCACAAAAACAGGCCCAUGACAAAGCAAUUUUAGAAGCCCAUGCCACCAGGGCCCAUACACAUCUUGCUCAGGCUCCGCACAGUAUAUAAAGAGCAAGAUGUUAUGCUUUUACCUAAAUCCCCAAUCCGAAACCCUGGCUCCUCUCUCUGCUGUGCGCCCCCCCACACCAGCGGCUACCACACCGAAUCCUCAGCGCCUGUGGUAACAAAGCGCAUGAACUACAUGUACAUUGGAGCUGUUUGUGAUGAGGGAUCUCCAGGCUCGGCAUCAUCAAGAACAAGAACCACUGAGCCAAAGGACAACAUGGGCACUCAAAAGUGUCAGUACGUUGUUGAUGCUACUGGAUUUGAUAAAGUUGCGGGUCUGAGGUCAACAAGAAAAAUAUAAUGCCAUCAUCUUAUGCGGGCAAACUUCGCUCGAUGACUGAAAACUUCCACGAUUCUAUAGCUGUUUCACGUGUCCAUGGCUCACCUGAUAUAUUCACAACCUUCACUUACGAUCCAAACUGGCCUGAGAUAGUUGAGGGUCUUGAGCAUGGACAACAGGCAAUCAAUGAAGCUAAUUUUGCUGCUCAAGUGUAUCAGAUGAAGUUACUUGGGUACCUGCAAGAAAUAAAGACCGGGAAAGUGUUUGGGCCUGUAGUUGUAGUCCUCCACUCCGUGGAGUUCCAGAAGAGGAGUCUGCCCCAUGCACAUAUCCUUGUUUGGCAGAAAAAAGAUAAUGGCCAAGUCAUAACACUGACCUUGCUAAAUCCUUUGUUUCAUCUGCUAUUAGUGUUUCUAUCAAAUCUAGAUUCGUCUUUGUUUUCCAGAGUUCCUUUUUCCAGAAUUCCUAAUAAUUAGCUUGACCAUGUCAUAGGGAUCUGCGUCCACUGAUGUUGAUGCCGAUGCUCCUGCGAUUGCAGCUGUUAACACCAUGGAGACUGCACUUCUGCAGACAUAAAAGCUUAUGAGAGAUGUUGCUGCUGCUGCACAGAACAUUUCGUCAAAAAUGUUUCGUUGCUAAGUGAUCUACACUUUCGGAUGAACAUGCAUGAAAGGUUCUUUUGGUCCUUGGUUCUUUCUCUCUGGUUACUUUGGAUCUAGCAACUAAAGCGUUGCCCACAAGGACAAGUGAAGCCUGCUUUGCAGUUACUGUUUUCGCACAAUUGUCCAAGUAUCCAGAAUGGCCUAUUACUAUGUUCGUCGCAUAUUUGUAAACCGCAUGUUUGGCAACCCCUGUUCAUGCGUUUCCUUGUUUAAGAUCUCAACCAGCCUAUUUCCAUGUUCUAUGGAUAUCGUUCUUAGCCCUUUGUUAAUGUACCCUAUGUCCCUCAUGACUAUUUGAACCUACUACAAAUAUUUAUUAAGCCAACCUAUCUAACGUAUGUUUGAUCACCAGUGUAAUGACUUGUAUAGUAAGCCUUGUGAACUUACGAUUUAAGCACUCAUAGACCUAAUACUACUGAUAGUCUACAAGCAAAGCAUGGCAAGCACACACACUUUUAUCAUUAAAUUUAGUUACCUAUGCCCCUCCUUACAGACAUCAAAUCGAUAACGAAACUGUGUAUAGAAAGCAGACCCAAAAAAAACUACCAUGCAUGCUCUAAACAAGAAAACCUCCUGUAAUAUAUGCUAUAAUUCUCAUUUAGCUAAUCCAUCGACACCUUUUGUGUGUAAAUGUAUUCAGCUUUGACAUAUUAAGGAUGUUUUAUAUAUCUUUUUAAAACAUGGUAAGAUAUCGUUGUGUAAGACAAAAUCAUCUAGAAUUUCGCUUUGAAAUUUACAAGAUCACUUCCUUUCUACCACUAUCUAUAGAUAUUGACCAUGAUCAGGAAUCAAUGAUAAAAAACAAUCCAAACCAUGAAUACUUUCACCCAUACUGCACUAUGUUUUUCCAGUAUAACUUUUCCGCUCAAUUUUCCCUCCUCCCUCCUCUGUUAUAGAAUUAUUAUAGAAUUUCUAUAAAUGACAAUUUUUCUGAUUACCACGUACUUUAAGAAAGUUGAAAAAAUAAUAAUCUGUUCGCCAAUUGCCCAGGGACCUUUGUCCCCUGACCUCUAUUGGCCAUUAACUUCCAGAAAACAUUUGUCUGAUUUAAGGAAAAGUUGUAAAAAAACAAAAAACUUUGCAAUUUGAGAACUAUUUAUAUACUUGAAUUAAAAAAUAUGGACGCGCGUAAAAGCAUGGAUCCUACCUGUCCUUACCGCAGCGGGUCACCCCCAGGCCCAUGUAAUCUCCCACUAAACUAGCCCGCCGGCCCAACGCAGGUAACAUAGAUAGGAGCAGACGCCUCCGCUUCCAGUCGUAAAUAUCUCCCCACUACCCACCAACGCAGUUUUUCCCAUCUCUCUCGCCGUCUCCCUCUAGGGUUUUCCCCCAAUACAAUGGUGAAGUGCAGGAUCUGCCGCCAGUACUGGAGGCACCUUGUCAAGCACCACGGAUACGCAGAUCGAAGACGCCGUCAUGCGCUAGAGAGUCGCCGUUAUCAGGCAUCGUCUUCUUCUGCGUCAAUGGAUAGUUCAGCCGAACUUCAGUCACGGACCGGUCCCCAUAGACAAGCGCCUUCUUCUGCCACAAGAACGACUACCGAUUCCGAAUACCAGCAGGAUUAACGGAGAUUUAUUCAAACCACGUGUCAAGAUACGGUUGCUUGUGCAUAUACAAAUACAUGUUUGUGUAGUAUUCACACAUCUGUACGAUACGGCUGAGCCAUGCAAUGGUGCAACGUGCAUGCAAAGAGGAGGAGGGCCAUGCCCAUAUGUGAUGCAUGCCACACGAGCAUGCAUGCAAUUCAGCCCACACACACAUGGGCCACGUGCAAUGCCGGCCACGUGAGCGCCCCAGCAUCCAAGCAACGCACGGCUGGUCCAUCGAACAACAAAUCAAGGCGGCGGCUCCCCAUCGUACUACUAUAAAUAAUUAGCCUCCGUUUAGGGUUAGACUCGGGUUUUAUUGUAUUGUCUAGCCAUCGCUACAAUUCGCAUCUACGAGACGUGUAGGACUACCGCCUUGUCAGAUUCACAGUGGAACCCCAACUUUUCAUCUAGUUCGUGUACUCAGAUUAUUAUCCGCAA